CAGCAUCUCAUUUUCAAACAAUACAAACUUUUUUUCACUGAGCUUUCAAGAUGGGUUCAAAUUGAAAACCACUCCUUCACAUUCUAAACCGAAUCACAUGACCCUCUCCAUUCUAGGCCUUAAGCUCGACUAAGUCCAAGACCACAAAAUCACUCCUCAAGAUUUAAGGAAAAUGCUUGCAUAAUCACAAUCAUACAAACUAGGAAAACUUCGAUCAAACAUCACCAUUGCAAUUCCAAAACUAGCAUAUUGACAGUAAAAGAUGAUUACAUUACCUAAACAAUUUCAGAUCAGGAUUCUCAUUCAUCACAAGAAUAAGAGAUUUGAGGCAUGUUAAGAAAAUAUCAGAAACUGAGACUAAAAAUUACACCACUUUUGAGUUCUUUGAAAUGGAACACAAUUACUAAAAACACCACAAUUCAAGACAUCUCACAUAGACACGAACAGAUAUACAUGAGUGAAGGUGAG